rnacentral:rRNA from 1 species
GCGCUACACUGAAGGAAUCAGCGUGUCUUUGCCCUUGCCUGGAAAGGUCGGGUAACCCGUUGAACCUCCUUCGUGCUAGGGAUUGGGGCUUGUAAUUCUUCCCCAUGAACGAGGAAUUCCCAGUAAGCGCGAGUCAUAAGCUCGCGUUGAUUACGUCCCUGCCCUUUGUACA